rnacentral:rRNA from 1 species
UACGUAGGGGGCAAGCGUUGUCCGGAAUCAUUGGGCGUAAAGAGCGUGUAGGCGGCCCGAUAAGUCCGCUGUGAAAGUCCAGGGCUCAACCCUGGAAUGCCGGUGGAUACUGUCGGGCUCGAAUCCGGAAGAGGUGAGUGGAAUUCCUGGUGUAGCGGUGAAAUGACGCAGAUAUCAGGAGGAACACCGGUGGCGAAGGCGGAUCUCUGGGCCUUACCUGACGCUGAGGCGCGAAAGCUAGGGGAGCAAACAGG